rnacentral:misc_RNA from 1 species
AUUUAACUGCUUGUUGCUGUAAAUUUUUCAAACCAAUUUAAUAUUUGUAGUUUUGUAUAAAAUUUUGUGCAUAGCUUUUGGCAUCUAUAUGAGGUAUUCCUUUUUGUUAUUAAUUUAAAUAUCAUCCUAAAUAUUUUCUAUCUCCCUAUAUUGUUUAUCGGCAUUUAAAUUUUGAUUUAUAAUAGUAUCUCAUUGCUUUAGUUUGU